GAACAACAGACGGCAAUUUACACCUCCUAGUGAAUUUCAUGCUGAUGGUGUAAAUGAAUAUUUCAUAUCUCAGGCAAUGAUGGAGAAUACUAGAGCCAACGAUAUACUAAAGCAAGCUCCAUUCCUGGUGCCAUUUACUAGCCGAGCCAAAAUAUUUACUUCACAACUCGCUGAAGCAAGACAAAGGAAUGGGAGCCAGGGUCUCUUUGCUAGGCAUAGAUUCAGAAUUAGAAGAGACCAUAUUCUGGAAGAUGCUUUUAACCAAUUGAAUGCAUUGUCGGAGGAGGAUCUACGUGGACUGAUACGUGUGACUUUUGUCAACGAACUUGGAGUUGAGGAAGCUGGUAUAGAUGGUGGUGGGAUAUUCAAGGAUUUUAUGGAGAAUAUCACUCGAGCAGCUUUUGAUGUACAAUAUGGAUUAUUUAAGGAAACUGCGGAUCAUCUACUCUAUCCGAAUCCUGGGUCUGGACUGAUUCAUGAUCAACACCUCCAGUAUUUUCAUUUUCUGGGGACAGUUCUUGCAAAGGCAAUGUUUGAAGGCAUCCUUGUUGAUAUUCCAUUUGCAACAUUCUUUUUGAGCAAGUUGAAGCAAAAGUAUAACUAUUUGAAUGAUCUUCCUUCCUUGGAUCCAGAAUUGUAUCGCCAUCUCAUCUUCCUGAAGCAUUACGAAGGUGAUGUUUCAGAUCUUGAGUUGUACUUUGUCAUUCUCAACAAUGAAUAUGGAGAGCAAGCGGAAGAAGAGCUGCUUCCUGGUGGUAAAAGCACACGUGUUACUAAUGAGAAUGUCAUCACCUUUAUUCAUCUUGUUGCUAACCAUCGUUUAAACUUUCAGAUCCGUCAACAAAGUUCUCAUUUUCUGAGGGGUUUCCAACAGCUAAUACAAAAGGAGUGGAUUGACAUGUUUAAUGAACAUGAACUUCAGCUUCUUAUUUCUGGAUCACUUGAUGGCAUUGAUAUUGAUGACCUUCGAGCUCAUACCAAUUAUACAGGAGGUUACCACAAGGAACACUAUGUUAUUGAUACGUUUUGGGAGGUUGUGAAAAACUUUUCUUUGGAAAAUCAGAGAAAAUUUCUGAAGUUUGUGACUGGGUGCUCACGAGGACCCUUACUCGGAUUUAAAUAUUUGGAGCCGUUGUUCUGCAUACAGAGAGCGGGUGGGCAUGCUUCUGAUGAAGCUCUUGAUCGUCUGCCGACAUCAGCUACUUGCAUGAAUCUUUUAAAAUUUCCACCAUACAGAAGCAAAGAGCAGAUGGAGCAGAAAUUGUUAUACGCCAUAAAUGCUGAUGCUGGUUUUGAUUUAAGCUGAUGGAAUUAUCUGUGCAUGCAAUUUUGGAGUAUCCGCUUUUUAUCUGAAGCAGCUUGUGUUCUUCAUUGGCAUAAAGGAAAACACAUGAAAUGGUAUGAUCUGUGCACCACCAUGGAUCAUACUGGAAAGGAACUGCUAAUUGCUACACAGUCGAUGGAUGGUCAAGAAGCACGUGUAAAUAAGAACCCCAUUACCUACCUUUUGACUAGAUGUGCAUACAUACCCCAGGUGCACUGUAUAUCAUCCUUUGGGAAGUGAAUGGCACGCGUGCUAGACAUUUCAAACUCGUUGAAAACGAGUGUGUAGUUAAGAAUUAUUUUGAAACUUGUCGAAGCUUAUAUAUUAGGAUGAUCAUAGUCACCGGAAGUUGUCAACCAUUUGUAUUCAUUGUACAAGUUUAUGCAUCUCCCACGAGGUGCCCAACUGCAGCUAGUUGUAAUAUCCUUGAACGGUUA
rnacentral:misc_RNA from 1 species